UAGCUUCAGCGAUGGAUCGGUUGAUUCGCGUAUCGAUGAAAAACGCAGCAAGCUGCGUUAUUUACCACGAAUUGCAGACGCUUAGAGUGGUGAAGUUUUGAACGCACAGCGCCGUUGGGUUUUCCCUUCGGCACGUCUGGCUCAGGGUUGUAUA
rnacentral:rRNA from 1 species